GACGAACGCUGGCGGCGUGCUUAACACAUGCAAGUCGAGCGAUGAAACACCUUCGGGUGCGGAUUAGCGGCGAACGGGUGAGGAACACGUGAGGAAUCUGCCUUCCACUCUGGGAUAACUCCGGGAAACCGGGGCUAAUACCGGAUACUUUCAACUGGCGGCAUCGCCGGUUGAAGAAAGUUUUUCGGUGGAAGAUGACCUCGCGGCCUAUCAGCUCGUUGGUGAGGUAAAGGCUCACCAAGGCGACGACGGGUAGCCGGCCUGAGAGGGCGACCGGCCACACUGGGAAUGAGACACGGCCCAGACUCCUACGGGAGGCAGCAGUGGGGAAUAUUGGGCAAUGGAGGAAACUCUGACCCAGCGACGCCGCGUGAGGGAUGAAGGCCUUCGGGUUGUAAACCUCUUUCAGCAGGGAAUAAGCGAAAGUGAAGGUACCUGCAGAAGAAGCACCGGCUAACUAUGUGCCAGCCGCCGCGGUAA
rnacentral:rRNA from 1 species